CUUACACAUGCAAGUCGAACGGGAAUUAGCUUCGGUUAAUUCUAGUGGCGGACGGGUGAGUAACACGUGAGUAUUCGCCUUUAGGAGGGGGAUAACGAAUGGAAACAUUCGCUAAAACCCCAUAUGCCCCUGGGUGAAAAAGAGGAGAUAAGUUAAACUAAGUCACCUCUGCCUGAAGAGAAGCUCGCGGCUGAUUAGCUAGUUGGUAGGGUAAUGGCCUACCAAGGCGACGAUCAGUAGCUGGUCUGAGAGGACGAUCUGCCACACUGGAACUGAGACACGGUCCAGACUCCUACGGGAGGCAGCAGUGAGGAAUUUUCUGCAAUGGGCGAAAGCCUGACAGAGCAAUACCGCGUGAGGGAUGAAGACUUACUGAGUUGUAAACCUCGGUACCUUAAGGAAGAAGAUAUGACGGUACUUAAGGUGGAAAGCAUCGGCUAACUCCGUGCCAGCAGCCGCGGUAAGACGGGGGAUGCAAGUGUUAUCCGGAUUUACUGGGCGUAAAGCGUCUGCAGGUGGUUUCUUAAGUCUACUGUUAAAUCUUGAGGCUCAACCUCAAAUCUGCAGGAGAAACUAGGAGACUUGAGUAUAGUAGGGGUAGAGGGAAUUUCCAGUGGAGCGGUGAAAUGCGUAGAUAUUGGAAAGAACACCGAUGGCGA
rnacentral:rRNA from 1 species